rnacentral:rRNA from 1 species
UACAGAGGAGCCAAGCGUUGUCCGGAUUGACUGGGCGUAAAGCGCACGCAGGCGGAUGCGCGCGUGGGGUGUGAAAUCUGGCCGCUUAACGGCCAGGCGCCAUCCCAUACGGCGCGUCUGGAGUGAUGCAGAGGUCGGUGGAAUUGCCGGUGUAGUGGUGAAAUGCGUAGAGAUCGGCAGGAACACCCAGGGGGAAACCAGCCGACUGGGCAUCUACUGACGCUGAGGUGCGAGAGCGUGAGGAGCGAACCGG